CUCGAUCACAAACAGGGUGGAUGAAGAUGCAAAGUACUCCGCUUUUCCAGCAUCGUACCAUUUGGGCACGUUAAGGAUCCCAAUGCUAGUGAAAACCUCAGGCAGCAGCAUCCCAGCAACACCCAACAUAGCCCAACGACCAUUCACCAGUUCAGCCUGGAUGUACCAUUUCAAGUUCUCUGGGUCCUCAGCAAGUCCCAACGGAUCAAAACCAUUGUCUCCUGGGAGACUUACAAAAACAAAGUAACCAUUUCGGUAUCAGAUCAAGGUUAGUGUUGAGACAUAAUACAAUGAAGUAAUCAGAGGCAUAUUCUCUCUCGCUUUUAGAUGAUUCACACAAUUUAACGUGAUACAAAAGGUCGUUAAAUAAUUUUAUCGCAUGUUUAUUAGCUCAUAAAAGGCCUACACAUAAGGGAUGUGUCGAGACAUAAUUAUUAAAAAGUAAGUAUGUAUUCACUCUAAACGUUUUAGCUUUUAGAUGACAUAAACGGUUAGAAACCACUAAAUAAAAAAUGUCAUGUGUCAUGUGUGUACCUGCCAUCAAGGUAAGCAGGAGAGGCUAAGCCUGGAAGCCAUUCACCUUUCUUAGCUUCAACCUUGAAUGAGUUGUUAGAAGUCGAGGGUCUAAAAGAGACCUCUCUGUUUAAUUUACCAGAUGACCCAGUAAG
rnacentral:lncRNA from 1 species